GAGAAAUUCAGCCGGGCCAUAGAAAGGAAUUCAAGUAUAAGCUAAAAUUUACACAUGCAUUCACCCAUUGGACCUAACACUUUUCAUAGCUCACCGGCAGUUCUCCAGCUUUUGGGUAAUUUGCAUUACCGACAGGGCUAGAGAAUCAACCACCAGCCAGUUCGAGGGAUUGGUCGGACUUCGGUUUUAUCGGUUUUAUCCACACAGCCACCCCGGGUUGGACUCCAGGGGCUAUCAACGGCAGUUUAAUUUCGGCCCCCAAUGCAAUCAGACUGAAUCCAAAUCCACCACUCUUAAAUACAUUAUUUCUUUAUAUCUAUAAGCUUUAUAUUCCGUAAAACAGCACUGUUUCCUCAAAAAAUAGAAACAGAGGACUCUCAUACUCGCUGCCGUGCUCAAGCACAAUUCUCAUAUCGGGUGACAUUCCAACACGCUGUCUAUAUGGAGUUAAGGAAUUGCACCGUUCAACCUGACGCGUCGAGCAACUUUCUCUACAUGCCGGACACAUACGGGGGCUUUGGCCCAAAAGUAAAUAACCUCGCAUGUCCCCUCUCCUACGAGUCAGGUCCUCCGAGGACCACCUAUCGACAGUGCUAGUGAUACGCGCGAGGUUCUCUCCAUCCGAUCCGCCGACGUUAUCAUUUUCUUUUAAUCGUGUUUUUAUCGCAUUUGUCAGGUGGUCGAGCCGAGUUCCAUUUGAUUCCUUACAAUAAUAAUACUAAAACUACUAUUGUUUAUCUAGCACUUGAAACUGAUUUACCACGGUGUUAGUUAAUUUUGUACAUGGCUGAUUAAUCCUCCACGUCCUAAAUGUCUGGAGAAAGGAUUAUUCUGUUCUAUUUUUUGAAGUGACCAAAAUAAUAUCUCUACAUGAAUGUCGACUAUUUUAGAACGAAUGAAUAUACACCAAUGUAGUAUUAUUAUGCAAUAUUUUAGGUAUCAUCGUAUUUUUAUAGGAUGAUUUAAUUGAUAUCCCAUUUUAUCCGCUGCGUAUAUUUUUCUUUAAAUACAGGUAUAUGUCGGUUAAAACUAUUGUUCAGUCUUUUAAUUCAUUAACUUUCAUACGACUUUGCAAUUGAACUUUUCUAUAAUUGUUUAUUUACAACAAAAUUAUUAAUUUUGUCUUAUUUUGUUUGUUAACCCUCAAAAAACAGACCUCUUCCCAUCUCAGUGUUCUUCUGCCCCACUCAGUGUGUUUUUUCGUCUCACCUCAUGACAACACAUUUUUUUAAAUUUUCAUUCGUGGACCCUCAUUUACUUUAAGUCUUGUCCCUUAGUUAGGAGGGCUUAGGGAAAAAGCAUUCGGCCUUUUUACAACCUUACGUACUUCGUUCAGCUCGAAGCUUUGUUAAGAUGUAUCAGUCCUUAGCUUUUCCUCUCCCAUGAGUAAGGAUAGGAUUGACAUAAACUGAGGGCAUGUUCCGCUGUUUGUUCUUCUGAUUGGCAAAAUCUGCACGUACUUUACUGCUGCACCGUAGUUUCACUGUCCAACACGUCUUAACUUAAAAGUUAUGUCGUUAGUUUCAGUGUUAGUCCUUUGUCAAGGAAUACAAUCCCGCAGAACCGAGGACUUAUUAUUAACUUAGACAUCGGAGAUAAUUAAAAUCCUUCAAAUUAUUUAGUCCAUUAAAGUAUAAGCUUUUUAUAUCAUUGACUUAUUUGUUUUAUUAACUUCCGACAUCAAGAAAAACGUUUCUUCCAACGUGUAUAUGGGGGUCUUACCUAGAAUUACUGAGCAGCCGAGUAUAAGGAGUAUAGUGAAAGAAAAAUAGACUACAAGCGGAAAACUGGUGCUUUUGAGAUUCAUGCCUACACUAGAUUGUUAAUAGUACAACUUAAAAGCGGUUCUGAUUUACCGAGAUUAAAAAUCAAUCUUUAAAGACCAAUUAGUAAAAUUAGUAGUAGGACAGGCCUCAAUAAUCAAUAAAAGUGUCUGUUUUGUUUGUACAUAGGCGUGUGAGUACUCCAUUAAUUCGACAACAAUGUUUUAACCGCGCAAUUACGUACAAUGAAACCCACAGAAACAUGCAACCUUCCUUCACAUUCAGCCAAAUAACACACACACAUAAUUAUGCAUAACAUAUAGCAUAACAACAUAUUUAGGAUGAUUUCAAUUCAAGGUGUGAAUGCCAAUAAUCAUUGAUGGCUAAAAUAGAUACUUAACUUAAAGGAACCAGGUACGAAAAUAGCCGUCUUUGGCCUACUAUGAAGAGGUUGCCGAGAUAUUCUAACUUAUUAUUGGCGUCAAAACCUUGUGUUUAACUAUACAAUCCAAAGUCAUCAACGUGAAAAGAUCAUGAGCGGAGAAGGUUCAGGUGCACUGCACUCAGAGCAUGAUCGGCAUAAUUGACGACGAGGUCCACCGCUGCGGAACACGUACGCGCUAAUGAACGGGGCCAAAAAUACGUCGGGUUGGCUGGAAGAGCCGAAGUAUUUAAGAGACGGUUGUUUUAGAAAUACGAGACGAAGGAGAUUGAGAGGGAUGGUGAGGAAGGUGUCUGGCAUAAAGAAGAACGAGGAAUGUUGGUCCGGGUCCAGCCUCUAUUUCGGUUAAGAAAGGAUUCCACGCUCUUUGAAAGAGCUGACUUUGAGAUGGUAGGCCAAUGUCAACGAUGAUACAGAAUAAAACACUACCCAAAGAAACCGCAGCAGCAUUCAUUUAGUGUUUCAAGUUAAAACAGCUUAACGGAUAAUAAACUAUUUACAUUCCUGAUUUUGUGGAAAUUGCGAAUUUUGCUUUUCAACAUGGAAAAAUAAAUAAUAAACUUCUUUAAAAUUUG